GACGAACGCUGGCGGCGUGCUUAACACAUGCAAGUCGAACGAUGAACCGGGUGCUUGCACCUGGGGAUUAGUGGCGAACGGGUGAGUAACACGUGAGUAACCUGCCCUGGACUCUGGGAUAACCCCGAGAAAUCGGAGCUAAUACCGGAUAGGACCUUGCACCGCAUGGUGUGGGGUGGAAAGUUUUUCGGUCUGGGAUGGACUCGCGGCCUAUCAGCUUGUUGGUGAGGUAAUGGCUCACCAAGGCGUCGACGGGUAGCCGGCCUGAGAGGGUGACCGGCCACACUGGGACUGAGACACGGCCCAGACUCCUACGGGAGGCAGCAGUGGGGAAUAUUGCACAAUGGGCGCAAGCCUGAUGCAGCAACGCCGCGUGCGGGAUGACGGCCUUCGGGUUGUAAACCGCUUUUAGUAAGGAAGAAGGGGAGCUUGCUCCUUGACGGUACUUGCAGAAAAAGGACCGGCUAACUACGUGCCAGCAGCCGCGGUAAAAC
rnacentral:rRNA from 1 species